rnacentral:lncRNA from 1 species
CGUCUCGGUGACCAUCACCACGAUGCCGAACAUCCCGAAGAUGAGCGCGUAGUCGCUGAGCCGUUUGCGCUUCUCGAACAGGGCGCGCCGGUGGCCCAGUUUGUAGCCGAUGUUUUGGUUCCGCCGCGGCCCCCCCCGCCCCUCGGCCGCAUCGCCCCUCCCUGGGGGGCCGGGGGCUGCACCACCACCUCGAGGCCGGGGCGCGGCGGGGCCGCAGCGCUGGGCUCUGGGCCUCUAACGGGGGGGGCUGCGGGGCGAGGCGCUCGGGACCCCCCCGUUGCGGCGGGGGCCGCUCAUGGCUGCGGCGGGCGGGGGGCCGGGCGAUGCCGCAUGGCUCGGCGGGGCGGGGGGCACCUGCUCGUGCUCCCCAGCACUGCCCGGGGGGGACCUUGGGGUGCUAUGGGCCUGCGCAGCAGGGCUGGGGCUGGGAAGGGGGGGGGUCCGGGGGGCCGGGUGCCAU